UUCAGCAGGAGAGUGGGGAACUAGGGCUGAGUUGCUAAUCUUGCUAAUCUAUUUCAACCUGGAGGACCUACCAAACCAGCCAGUCUUCAUCUAAAUCAUGCUUCUCUCUGCCUACUUCUAUUAGGAAAGAGAUGACGUUUGGUGUCUGCAAGGGAAGGGUGUACAGAGCUACACCAACAGCUUAUCCUUCCUGAGAUUCAAUAGUGCAUACAAGAGGAGUCUUCACCUUGUGUGCCCCCUUGCUCUUGCCACAAUUCUACAGAGAAGGAGCACAUAAUGCCUUCUACUGUCCUCUGAGGUAUAAUUAACAUAGUUUUUACUAAUUUUCUGAUUUCACUGGUUAGAUUCAAGAAUUAGAAGCAAGACCUUGUGAUACAUAAACUACCUUCUUCAGCCGAACAGGCAUUUCUGAGAAUGAAAGACCACAUCUUUGGAAGCCUGCAAUUUUAAGCAAGUUUUUGGGAUUCAUGGAAACAGAAGAUCAAAUUACUUUUCCAGAAGGCUUUUCUGUAUGCUCCAGGAAGAUGCUGAAGAUACCAAAUAGUGGAAAUAUGUAAUUCCUAAAGCAUAUAUGAGCAUAUAAUCUUAAUGUCUUGCGUCUGAGAAUACCUACAAUCACUUAUUUGAAAACUGAAACUUUCUGUUGUUGCAAGACAAAUGGAAAGAAGGGAAUUUUACUUUGUUCUCCAAGUAUUCUUUACAUCCUGGAAAAGCUAUUUAACCUGUAUUUCAUUAAGUCGCCUGUCCCUGCAAGAAAACUCAUAAAGCCCAAGUAACUAGUAACAUUGAUUGUUUUGGAAGAAACCUUUUCUUUCCAUUUAUUUUACUAUUCAAUUAAAUGUAACAAAAUUGAUGACAAAUAUUCUGGCUGAAAUUCUUUGCCCCAUAUUAUGCAAAGAGAGCAGAAAAAGCAUAAUUAUUUCCACAAAUUACUACUCAUUUAGCUGUAUGAGACUUUUCCUUUGGAAGAAAGGGUUUUUCCUUGACAAAUAGUCUUUACUCAUCCUCUGCUACUUAAAAACCACUGGAUGUAACUGUAGUUGUAAGGUCUGAUUUAUGAGAUCUAGCCAUUAAAAUGAUUUAGAAAGCUCAUCUCACUACUGCAUUUCUCAUAAUGACAUUACACGAUGUACUCAUUAGAUAAAAAGUUUGGUUACUAUUUUUAAAAAAGCUGGGAUGUCUAAUGGUGGUGUCAGAGACAUAACAGUCUCAAUAAAGGCUCAAUUCACAUCCUGCACAAUAACAAGUGUAUUGCGUUCUUUAGGGGAAAAGGUAAUCAAAAGAUUUAGGUAUGAUCUUUAAAUUCUGCAAAUGUAAAAAUCUAAGUUUAUAUUUUAGAACUCUUUGACAAACCAGUAAGUCACAUAAAAAACUGAUUUGAGAGGAAUUCUUAACCUCUUCCUUUAAAUACUUCCAUUGGUCUUCCACCUACCUAUGGAUUCAGUACCCCAAAUGAUCAUUCGAUGUUACGUAAUCUCACACUUCUUCAGCCCUAUCUUCCAAUAUUUUACUUGUAUUGAAACUGGGAAAUAUGUGUUGAUACUUUCCUUGAAAAGGAGGACUUUCUAUGGGUAUGCUUUUUCUUUUUAAUGAAUAUUCCUAUCUUGUGCAAUCAAGCAUUCUUCAUGUGUGUCUGCCUGUCUUCUGUUCAGUACUUGUGAAUCCAUUAACCACUUUAAAUCAGUUCUGAUUGAAUGAUAAUAGCCCCAGUAAUGCAAAAUUCUUGCAGGUUCUGUGGAAGAAGAUGACAGGUUUUUUAACUAAAAAAAAAAAAAAAAAAAAAAAGGAGAAAAUGUCUUGGCUGAAGGAAAGGGUUUUAGAGUGAACUGAACCCCAGACGGUUCACACAGGAUUAUGUACCUGAUGUAUGAACCUUUGAUUAUUGCACUCUUUAAUAAAGCAAAGCUGUAGGAAACAGUGUUUUAUCCUUCUGUUGCUUUAAUAUAACUUCAGUAGCUACUUGUUUAAAGUGUUCGUCUCUGUACUUACUAAUGCAUAUUAUUAUUCUCCACUUCUGCAUGAUCCAGCACAUAGCUACUGGUCUGAUCGGAGGUGAUAGGUUUACAAAUUCUAGCUCUGUCCUCUAUGGCGAGAAAAGAUUUAAGAGGAAGUACUUUUUCAAAGAAUGGAAAACGUUUUUGGAGGCAGGAACAAAAACAGCUGUGCCAUUAGAUAAGUAGAACUUAAGAUGUGAAAGAUCAAUGUAAUUGAGAUGUGAUUUUAUACACAUAUAUAUUUCUAUGUGCUCUGCAGCCUGAAACAUGAGGGGUUAAACAGCAAUUGUUUUCUUUAGAUGCCUUAUCAAUUCAUUUAGAAAGUGGCAAACAACUGUCAUUGCAACCAGGAGGUGCAAAGCCAACAAUCUGCUGAGAGAACUAAUGUUGGAUGUGAGUUCAGAUGUGGAACUGUUCUUUUACCCGUACUGCUUACAACAGGAAGCUGCAUUAACAUCAUCUAAGGGCGGUUUUGUUCUGGAGCAGACCCAGAAAGAGGUAUAAAUAUAUGUUCCAAUCACAGAGGAUCCUUGUUCUGUUGGAUUAGAGAUGAUGAAUGUCUUAUUACUACAGCCCAAUCCAUAUAAGUCUAAUAGAUUUACAAUGUAUUUUAUGGGAACUGCCAAGUCUCCUGCUGCCAUUGCUAGAACAUUUUGUCUGAUCUUAGUUCUAUCUGCUUCCCAGUCCAGUCUCUUCCUGGCAUGAUUGGAGUUCUUCAUUCAUGGACCUCUAGCUACUUUUGAUCAUGGUUUUGCCACGUUAUGUCAGAACAGGGCUCAUGGGGAAAACAAACCUAACUGAAAUACUGAUCUGAAAAUCAGGGAGAUGCAGAGAUUUGACCAGCAAACACCAAACCCUCUCAGUAAUCCCUUUUCAACUAUUUAAAAAACAAGCAUUGUCAAAUGUCAUCGCCAAGAGCCUCUUUGACUCCCUGAGAAAACUGAAUGAUGGUUUAUCACCCAGGCAGAAUUCUGUUCUGAUAUGAUUCUGAUAUGAUUUUGCUAAAAGAUGAGCAUAUUUUCUAGUCUUUGGCAGACUCUCAUUUUACAGCACUAAAGGUGAUGGACUAAGAUCCUUGGCUAAUGUGAAGUAAUAAUGGUUUUGCCCAUGUUUGUAGAUGUAGACAAGUUUAAAUGGCAUGAGAAGCUGGAUCAAUAUUUUAACUGCAGUUUACUUCUCUUGCCCUUGCUAUAUACCUCUCUUUGCAUGGGAAGAAAACUAUCCUUCAGUAGUAGUGCAAGUCCCAUCUGAAUCAAACCAUUAGUUGUUUUUUUCCCCCCCAAUACCUCACUUGCAUCCCAGGAAAAAUAUAAAUUCCAAGCUUUAUACAUCAAGAUUUUUUUUAUUUUUCUUGGAUACAGCCAAGUAACUUAUUUUUUUUCCCCCCCUUCGGGAUGAACAUAAGGAGUAGUAGGCCUACUUGGCAUCUGUUGAAGUGUUUCCUCAGACAAAUCUGCGUGGCUGCUACCCGAAAUUCUGUUCACACAUUUGCACAACUCGGUGCUCUUUCUUGCCUCCUAGAAAUAAAGAUUGAUUUAGAGGGCCAGUUCCAUGCUCUGUAUUUAAUUAAAGCCUACACUGUCCUCCUUUUCACCAUACUGUCUUUCAUGUCCUGGAACUCUUUACAGAGCAUAUAACUGGUGUUAUUCAAUUUACCCUUUUGUGAUCUUAUUUCUUACCAUUAAUCACGGUUUUUUCAUCUUUACUGCAAAACCUUCCAAAUCCAUCCAUAUUCUUCAGUGUGGGCUUCAUUUCUCCCCGCAAAAGCUUGCAGACUUUUCUUCUAUCUCAAUUUUCUGAUUCUGAAGACCUUCAGGAUAUUAGUACUCAGCUUUUCCACAGAAACCCUUGUAGCAGCCCUACUGAUCUUUUAAUGGCCAUCAAAAAAAAAAAAACAAAAACCCAGAUUUUCCUGUUUGUUAUCUACAGCCCAUUAAAAUACUUGCCUAUCUCUCCCACAGCUGCCCAAGUACCUUUUAAGAAAAUAAAAAUAACUUUAAAAUUCCUUGUCCUUGAAACUGCAAGGCUGUAUGAUUCCUGGCUGAUGUGCAUGCUCUUUUUUCCUCAAGGAUAUAUUUUUGCCUACCAGCAUUUAUUUACUAUGUCUAGGGAUGUUCUCUGAGAGAACAUUCAUGUGCAUUUCUCAAUUUUACAGUGCUCGUGUGAGUGUGUUACAGAGCAAUCUUUCCUAAGCAAAGAUUUGUUGGCUAGCACUCUUUUCUCUCUACCCAGCAGUUUGUAAAGUUUCCCUAUUUCUAUUGUUAACAGCCUAUGGUAGAAGAAAUUUGAUAUUAAAUGAAGUUUUAAAGGGCUCUAUGUUUCAAUAAAGAUUCAUAGUAUUCUUACAUAGCUAAAUAUUUUUUAAAAUCUAUGAAUAAGUUUAUAGUAGGUAUCUCUAACUGUGUUUCAGGGUAUCUUCAAUGCAGGCAUUGUUUCACGGUACAAUUUGGGUCCUAAUAGUGGGAUACACAUUUCUGUGGGGUAGAUAAACAUACAUUAAGCUCCUGUUCAUAUAGCUCCCUCUGACACAAAUAUACAUAUGCACUUGUAUAUGUUGUAUAUGUUAACAACUACACAUGAAUAUGCACGUUGUUAUUUAGAAUACAAAUCCAGAUUCUUACAUUCAGCUUUUAAUACACUGACAGUCCAAAAGGAUGGUGAGAUAUUUCACAGUUACACAGGUAAGCAUGGGUUAAACCACACAGGCUACUACUAAAAUAUGGUUCCUUGAUGUAUGUAAGUGGAAGUGUAAAGGUUAGCUGAAGGUUGCCUUCGAAUACAGCUGCUGCUCUUAAAAAUCAAGAACUUCACAAAGAGGUUUUAAAAUACCGAUUUUAAUAUAAAGUCAAUUAAAAGUGGCAUUAUGGUACUUUUUAUAUGUUUCUCAGACUGCCACUCUGAGAACAAUUAAUGUAGCUUAAUCCAUUUUUUAUUCACUUCUAUCUUUUUGUCUUUUAUCUGGCUCCUUACUUCAGCAUGAAAAAAACACUGAAUUACCAACCCCACUGCUUCAGCUUCUACUCUAAGUAUAUAACCUGUUUAACUCAGCUAAAAGAAUAAAGAAAUAGCAACAGUGUGUGUAAAUGUUGACAAUUUUGAAAUGCACCAGGAACUCUUCAAAGUAUUCUAUCAUUUUGAAAAGCUCACUGUGAAAAUUACUUUGUAUGGUUGGCAGUUUCAAGUUUUCUACCUUGACUUGCUAAUACGAGGUUUUUCCAAUUGCAAUGAGCACAGCUGAAAUCUGAAACUGAUCAAAAACAUUUUAGUUUUAUUUCAUUGUCCGAUUCAAAUGGAAUAUUUGAAAUAAAUAAGAUUUAACUUAAAUUGGCAUAGAUACUAUUAGUAACAGAACAUAAUUUUCUGUAAUGGUUACUGACGAGAAAUCAUGAUUUCUAUGAGACAGCAUUUGAUCCAAUAUUGAGCAAAGUCUUUCUAAUGUACAUUAAACACCUUGAUAGCUCAAAGUAUGCUUGGAUUUAAAUGAAUCAUGAUAACAUUUCAAAUGAAUGUACUUUAUUUUUUAAAGCCUAGUGUUUCUUGACUGACUGAUAUUCACUAACGCUGACAAAAUCUCUACAUUAGUGAUGAGUUUUCCAAAGGUAAUGCUUAAAUGAUUUCCCUGGGUAAGGUACUCUGAAAGUAGAUGGCAGUUGUGAAGUGUAUGACAAAUUCCUGCUUCCUUGAGAUUUUACUUCUGUAGCUACUGUAAUUAAUAAUUAUGCAGCCAUUAGGAUUAAACAUAAAUGGCACACCGAUGCUAUUCUUAAUGAAGCAGAUUUCAUACAGGUGACAAUGUGCCUUGCUUACAAACCAGCAUGCUGAUAGUUGUCAUGCAUUUCUUUUUGUGUGAGGUCUAAAUAUUCUACGCUCCUAGGAAGAACAGCAGCAACAUGUGUUUGAGUCAUCUGGCUCUAUUAUCAGAACAUGAACAUAAUUAUGUACACUCAUUUCUCUGAUUCCAUACCCAUGAGGGCUACUGCUGCCAUGUCUGUCCUCCCUGCUCUGGGGAAGCGACAGACAUGGUGAGGACUGAUUUCAUAUUGGGGUCUUGUCCUCUUCCAGUGCAGCAAACUGUUCCUUCUCAGGCCUCAACUAUAUUAAGGAAAAUCUGGAUCCCACGUUCUUAAAACACUUGCUUUGUAUUGUCAUAAUUCCCCUUAUCUCUUCUACUCACAUGUUGUGUACAAAAACAGACAUUGGUUUCAAGGAGUUUAGGAAUCUCAUAACCUGAGUUGAUUACAAUUUUAAUAGAGCUAAUAGUGAUACUCAAAGAUGAAUUACCCAAUUAUAAUUUACAGAGGUAAUAUUUGAGCUGUCACUCAGUAUCUGGUGAUGCUGUGCUUACUAAGAUUUUAUACUACUUUGCGCUCUUCAGCUUGGCUUAAAACUUUUUGUUAAGUGUUCUCUUUGAAAGUACCAAUUCAAAUCUCUCUUGAUAUGACUAGCAGUUUCAGAAUUGUCUGUAUGCUGCAAACAAAUUUUGCCCUUCCAGUAUCAGCAGCCUACUUUCUGAGCAUCUGAUUAAUCUAUCUAAUCUACAGCACUCAGCAAGGACCUAAUGCCAUCGCAUAAUUAUAUUUCCCAAUUAAAUAUAAAUUGAUUUCCUUUGGAGAGAUUUUCUCUUCAUGGUGUGGGUGGGUCUCAAGGAGUGUUUAGAAAAAUCAAGCUAACUAGCAGUGGAGCUGGUGGUUGUAAACCCGAGAGAAUGCAGGCAAAAUGCUAAAGAAUGUCACCAGCCCAUGCAGGUGGUUAGGGUGAACAGAUCAGACACAGGAAAGUAGCAAGUAUGAAAGCUGGAAAUAAAAAAUAUUUCUACUAAAUGAAUGUAUACAGUCUUCUUGGAUGAUAAAGUUGGGUCAACUGCUGUUGUCUACAUUGCUUUUAUAUAUUUCUCACACCUGACUUUGGUCUGUGUCUAGCAGUUGAUACACAAGAGUGCUGUUACCGACAAUAAUAAGACUCCAAAUUAGUAGUAAAACACUUAAUCCUCUCUCACUGAACUUAAUGCUCUGACUAUAGUGCAAGAGAGUACCUGGAUGAUGCUAACAUUUGAAAAUAGCUGCUUUGUUCACUUAAGAGUUGCAAAGUAGAAAGUGUGUCCAAGUUAUUGAAUGAAAGUCUGUGAAAUUUUAGUAGAACAGUGAUUUCUGAAACUGGGAAUGCUUGACAAAGUAGGGGGAAAAAGUCUGUUACAGAAAUAUUAGCAUGAGAUUAAUGGAGAGACAUAAUUAAUCAUUUUAAAUUAGGAAGGCAUUGAUUUUUUUUAUUUUCUGUUUUUGAUAGAAUGUGACUCAACUUCCGAAAAAAAUGAACUUAACCUAUUCAUUUUCAUUCACUCUAAGGGUAAUUUUGAUUAAUCUCUCUAUUUGAGAUUAAAUGGGAGGGAAAGCAUUAUGAAACUGAAACAAAACAUUGUAGAUAUUAUAAUGGACUCUCAUCCAUCAAACAGAUGCUUAGCACUUGAGAAAUAAAUAGAUAUGAAAAUAACUGCAAAAGUAUUUCAAAAUGAGACUCAUAGCAGUGAGACUGCAAAACUGUUGAUGUUUUGAAUACAGAAAUAAUAUGUAAUUGAUUUCUACCAACAUUUUCAGCAUGUCUAUUUGCUGUAUGGUUCUCUUCAGACUAGUUUCAAUCUUUGCUCUUACAGCAAGUCUUUACCAUGGUGAUUAAUGCCCUUUUCAUAUGUCUGUGGAGACUGACCUUUCCAUGCUCUCCUGUUUCACUUCCAAGUCUCCAGUGAAAUGUUGGAAGUUCCUUUUCUUGUGCUAAGAAUUACCCUGCAAUCCUUAGAUAACACUUGUAUGGGUGCACACAGCUCCAAGCAAUUGCACUACUGUGACCAUGUCAUGUAAAUGGGAACUUUACUUAUACCAGCAAAUAAAAAAAAAAUCCCCUUAGUGUUUGCACUUCCCCAGUAAUUCACACCUGUCUCCCACCCAGAUAAUUUAAUCUGUGGAGGCUUCAGGACUCCAUUUAUCAUCUCUCCCUCUUCUCGUUUACUAGAUAGCUAAAGUUAUCUCCACCUCCCUCUGCCUGAAUCCCAUCGCCCACUUAAUCCAUUUAAAUCCUUCCAUUAUUUCUUUCUUCUGCUAAAUCCUCAGCUUCAGUGUCCUCUGUGUCUCCUCUUAAUGUGUCGAUAACCAGCA